rnacentral:rRNA from 1 species
UACGUAGGGUGCAAGCGUUAAUCGGAAUUACUGGGCGUAAAGCGUGCGCAGGCGGUUAUGUAAGACAGAUGUGAAAUGCCCGGGCUUAACCUGGGAACUGCAUUUGUGACUGCAUGGCUAGAGUUUGGCAGAGGGGGGUAGAAUUCCACGUGUAGCAGUGAAAUGCGUAGAUAUGUGGAGGAACACCAGUGGCGAAGGCGGCUCGCUGGGCUCUACCUGACGCUGAGGCGCGAAAGCGUGGGGAGCGAACCGG